rfam:Gossypium raimondii Chr11_contig_47, whole genome shotgun sequence.
UGUUAAAAAUUUUAUCCAUUUGUACUGUUAAAACAUGACAUAACUAACGAAAUAAUCAGAUAAUAACAUGUGACAUAUCAUGCGUAAAGUAUGCCUACAUACAAAAAUAAUUUUUUAAUAGUAGAAAUUGAUCAUUUUCUUAACA